GAUGAAGAACGUAGCGAAAUGCGAUAAGUAAUGUGAAUUGCAGAAUUCAGUGAAUCAUCGAGUCUUUGAACGCACAUUGCGCCCCCUGGUAUUCCGGGGGGCAUGCCUGUCCGAGCGUCAUUGCUGCCCUCAAGCACGGCUUGUGUGUUGGGCCCCCGUCCCCGGUUUCCCCCGGGGACGGGCCCGAAAGGCAGCGGCGGCACCGCGUCCGGUCCUCGAGCGUAUGGGGCUUUGUCACCCGCUCUGUAGGCCCGGCCGGCGCCAGCCGACACCCAACUUUAUUUCUAAGGUUGACCUCGGAUCAGGUAGGGAAACCCGCUGAACUUAAGCAUAUCAAUAAGCGGAGGA
rnacentral:misc_RNA from 1 species